AAUAAAAAGAGCUUGUUUAUAAUUUGAAAACAUGCCAUCUAUUGACAGAGUAUCUUUAAUCCAUAGACACAAUCCAAUCCAUCUCAAGUUUCAUAUUUGAAAAAACAGCAAAGAUGAUACCUCUUAACAAAUGGAAGCACUAUUUGGAUGAGUCACAGUGGCCUUAAAAUGAGCAGGAAUAGAAACAAGAAACAAAUACCUUAUCAAAAUACUCAAAAUUCAGUUAGACAAGUUAAAAGAUGUAACUAAGAUAAGGAUGAAAAUUCACUAUGCAAGCUUGACACUUAGCUCCAAACUAUACUGCUUGUGGUAGAUAACAAUAGUCUGAAUAUGUUUCCUUAUUUUCUUAGGUGUGUGGAAGGGAAAAGUCAUAAUAGGUAAUUUAAGAAAAGAAAAAGAAAAAAGGAAAUCACAAGGUUCAUCAACAACAAAAAGGCACCUGUUGCAGUUGCUGUUAAGCAAUUGAUGGAUGACUCAAAAUAUUAAUGGAUUCCUUCCCAGUAAACUGCAUUGGCAGGCACAGAUAUCACAGAACCAGAAGCUUAUAUUUGGCCAUUGCUUCCUAGUGAGGAAACUAAAACUCAGAGAAAGAGUACAAGAUCAUGUUAAGAUAAUUGCGUAUAUACACAUUAAGUGGUGCCAAUACAUCUUUACUCUUUGUUUUCUGAAAAUAUUUGACAAAUUCAGGAUUCCUCAAAAUGUUUUGGAACAAGAACCUCUCCAGAGCAAGUAGUUAAUGGAGUAAACAGGUUCUGAACUUGAUUUUACUGUGUCGUAAGAGCGCUGAAUCAACAUCUGUCUUAUCUCAGAGAAAUUACUUCUCAUGACUGAGUUACAGAAGUAGGUUGGUUGAUGAAGAGGAAGAAGCCCCGUAGAAGGAAUCGGGGGCACGAACCAUUCGCACUGGUAAAAUACUACUUACUAGAUAGAAAGUGAUCCGUUCAAAGAAGUCACGCAAUCGACCAGAAGACAGUUGAAACAUGAACGUUCGAUACCAUAUUCAUUGAACACAAUUAUACAUCAAAAUGUUUUACAUCCUAGGUAUAGACCUUAGAGAUUAAGAGAACAAAUGGCAUAUUUUAGAUGCUUAAAAAUUCAGAAAGAGCAACUCCAUACAUAAACCGAGUACAUUGUCCAAUACAUACCAUCAAUCACUAGGACAUAAAUACAAUACAUUAACUAAUACCAGCCAAGGCUUUAGUACAUUUCUUAACCAAUAAGUUGCUGUACUAGAUUACCAGAAUCUGAGAAAAUUACGUUUGGGAGAUUCUAGAGUUUUGAUAAAUGUAAACUGAAAUACAGAAAAUAGGGGCUGAGAAAGUACGGAUUUUCCUAUCCUUUAUAUUAUAAUUGUAUCCACUAAAGAUGAAGGAAUUUGAUUAAGUUCCACAGAUGCUUUCCAAAUUUAGAAUGCUUUUGUCUUCAAUCCACAAAUAAGUAAUUCAAUGAAUACACGAAGGCAUAGAACAGUUUCUAAUUUUUAAUUUCUAAAUAAAUAAAUGUUUACAUAAAAAAAUUGUAUAGUAAUAUUUGUAGUAUGUGGUAUAAGUAUAAAAUUUAAAAAAAAAAUUCUACGAACACGAAAAAGUUUUCUUUUUUAUUAUCAUUUUCUAACUAGCAUCUCAUUUUCUAAAUGUUGUUUUUAUUUUCAAAGUACCAAAUGUAGCUAAAUUUCCAACUUAAAAGUUUCUACAUUUGGUACAUUCUUCAAUUGAAAAAUUCGAUAUUUUAACCUUCAUCAAGUAAAAUGACAUUAAAAUUUGUAAUCUGGAAAAGCCCAGUUGUAAUUAUCUCUACAUCAAAAAAAAAAAAAAAAAAAAAAA